GUGCCAGCAGCCGCGGUAAUACGGAGGGGGUUAGCGUUGUUCGGAAUUACUGGGCGUAAAGCGCACGUAGGCGGACUAGUCAGUCAGAGGUGAAAUCCCAGGGCUCAAACCCUGGAACUGCCUUUGAUACUGCUAGUCUUGAGUUCGAGAGAGGUAAGUGGAAUUCCGAGUGUAGAGGUGAAAUUCGUAGAUAUUCGGAGGAACACCAGUGGCGAAGGCGGCUUACUGGCUCGAUACUGACGCUGAGGUGCGAAAGUGUGGGGAGCAAACAGGAUUAGAUACCCUGGUAGUCCACACCGUAAACGAUGAAUGCCAGACGUCGGGUAGCAUGCUAUUCGGUGUCACACCUAACGGAUUAAGCAUUCCGCCUGGGGAGUACGGUCGCAAGAUUAAAACUCAAAGGAAUUGACGG
rnacentral:rRNA from 1 species